rnacentral:rRNA from 1 species
AGCGAACGCUGGCGGCAGGCCUAACACAUGCAAGUCGAACGAACCUUUCGGGGUUAGUGGCGGACGGGGGAGUAACACGUGGGAACGUGCCUUUAGGUUCGGCAUAACUCAGGGAAACUUGUGCUAAUACCGAAUGUGCCCUUCUGGGGAAUGAUUAAUAGCCUCUAGAGCGGCACGCGUCUGAUUAGCUAGUUGGGUGAGGUAAUGGCUCACCAAGGCGACGAUCAGUAGCUGGUCAGAGAGCAAGAUCAGCCACAUUGGUACUGAGACGCGGCCCAAACUCCUACGGGAGGCAGCAGUGGGGAAUCUUGCACAAUGGGCGAAGGCCUGACGCAGCCCUGCCGCGUGAAUGAUGAAGGUCUUAGGAUUGUAAAAUUCUUUCACCGGGGACGAUAAUGACGGUACCCGGAGAAGAAGCCCCGGCUAACUUCGUG